rnacentral:misc_RNA from 1 species
GAUGAAGAACGUAGCGAAACGCGAUAAGUAAUGUGAAUUGCAGAAUCCAGUGAAUCAUCGAAUCUUUGAACGCACAUUGCGCCCGCCAGCAUUCUGGCGGGCAUGCCUGUUCGAGCGACAUUUCAACCCUCGACCUCCCCUUGGGGAGGUCGGCGUUGGGGACCGGCAGCACACCGCCGGCCCUGAAAUGGAGUGGCGGCCCGUCCGCGGCGACCUCUGCGCAGUAAUACAGCUCGCACCGGGACCCCGACGCGGCCACGCCGUAAAACACCCAACUUCUGAACGUUGACCUCGAAUCAGGUAGGACUACCCGCUGAACUUAAGCAUAUCAAUAAGCGGAGGA